rnacentral:rRNA from 1 species
GACGAACCGUCCUAACGUUAUUCGGAAUUACUGGGCUUAAAGCGCGUGUAGGCGGGUCGGCACGUUCGUCGCUGAAAUCCCACGGCUCAACCGUGGAACAGGCGUGAAUACGGCCGACCUGGAGGGGUGUAGGGGGACCUGGAACUUCCGGUGGAGCGGUGAAAUGCGUUGAGAUCGGAAGGAACGCCCGUGGCGAAAGCGAGGUCCUGGACACUUUCUGACGCUGAGACGCGAAAGCCAGGGGAGCAAA